AUUUAAUGACAAAAUGAGAAAAAAAUUCAUUGCAUGUUUUUAUAUUUCCAUUAUAAAGACAUGGUUUGGGAUACUUGAACUUAAAAUUUUGAUACAAUAUUUUAGUCAUUAAUAUCUUAUAGUGUAAUGGUUAAUAUUAAAAGCCAAAGCAACAUUUCAUAUUGUCAUAUCAAAGCAGCAUUUCAUAUUGGCAUAUCCUCCACCAUUGAAUCGCAUGAAAUUAAUAUUUUAA
rnacentral:lncRNA from 1 species